UUUAACUGUGUCAGCCGGAAAAAAUUUAAAACAUCCCCUAUCCUUUUAUCUGUCCUUUUUUUAUUUUGACCUGGCCUUUUUUAUCCGCUUUUUAUUUUUGUGUAAAGUGCUGAAAAAUAAUCCAAAUUUACAUUAUUUUUAUAUCGAUAGCAGCACUUUUAAAUGAAUGUAACCCUGUUGUAAUCGUAAAUCGUAUAUAUCGAUAUACAGUGCUAUCAGUUGUUACUUUUAUUGUGAAAUUUGUGCGGGAAAGAUGCCAAAAGAAGUUUAUAAACAAAAGUUCCGUGAUUCAUGGCUAAAUCAGCCGGAUCUGGUGCAGUGGAUGUGUCGUGAUCAAAAAUGCAGAAGUUGAGCGUGUUUUUAGCCAAGCUAAUUUGGUAAAAACCAAAUUGCGCAACCGACUGCAAAUAGAAACUUUAAAUGCGAUUUUAUCGAUCAGGUUUGGGCUACGCCGGAACGGCGUAUGUUGCCAUGAAUAUGAAAUUCCUGAGAAAUAUUUAAAAAUGAUUGGAAGCAACCAAUCUACAAUAAAUCAAAGUUUAGAAGUUUGCAAUGAUGACAUUGACGAUGUUCUAAACGAGUUGGCAACCAAUAAAGAAUGAUAUUACAUAAAAUGUAUGGAAAAAAUA